AAAAGAUGAUCGCGGGCCGCAAGGCGUGAGGAAAGUCCGAGCUUCGCAGGGCAGGAUGCCGGAUAACGUCCGGCGAGGGUGACCUCAGGGAAAGUGCCAUAGAAAAGGAGACCGCCACGCAAGUGGUAAGGGUGGAAAGGUGCGGUAAGAGCGCACCAGCAGUCAGGAGACUGGCUGGCUUGGUAAACCCCAUCCGAAGUAAGACCGAAUAGGGAAGGGAUGAAGUUGCCCGCCGACCUUCCGGGUAGAGUCGCUUGAGCAAAUGGGCAACCGUUUGUCUAGAUAGAUGAUCAUCGCGUGGAAACGAACAGAACUCGGCUUAUUGA
rnacentral:RNase_P_RNA from 1 species